AUUGAACGCUGGCGGCAUGCCUUACACAUGCAAGUCGAACGGUAACGGGCCUUCGGGUGCCGACGAGUGGCGAACGGGUGAGUAAUGUAUCGGAACGUACCUUUCAGUGGGGGAUAACGUAGCGAAAGUUACGCUAAUACCGCAUAUUCUGUGAGCAGGAAAGCAGGGGAUCGCAAGACCUUGCGCUGAUUGAGCGGCCGAUAUCAGAUUAGCUAGUUGGUGAGGUAAAGGCUCACCAAGGCGACGAUCUGUAGCGGGUCUGAGAGGAUGAU
rnacentral:rRNA from 1 species